UCGGUUUAGUAUAUGGGUUAGUAUGUGGGAUUGUAGCUCCUACGGAGUGUGUUAUUUAUUCA
rnacentral:tRNA from 1 species